UAAGGAAUAUUGGACAAUGGGCGCAAGCCUGAUCCAGCCAUCCCGCGUGCAGGAUGACGGCCCUAUGGGUUGUAAACUGCUUUUAUUUGGGAAGAAACGAAUCCAUUUAUGGGUUUCUGACGGUACCAUAUGAAUAAGCACCGGCUAACUCCGUGCCAGCAGCCGCGGUAAUACGGAGGGUGCAAGCGUUAUCCGGAAUCACUGGGUUUAAAGGGUGCGUAGGCGGCACAAUAAGUCAGAAGUGAAAUGCUGUAGCUUAACUAUGGAAUUGCUUUUGAUACUGUUGAGCUUGAAUUGGGUUGAGGUUAGCGGAAUGAGUCAUGUAGCGGUGAAAUGCAUAGAUAUGACUUAGAACACCAAUUGCGAAGGCAGCUAACUGGGCCUUGAUUGACGCUGAGGCACGAAAGCGUGGGGAGCGAACAGG
rnacentral:rRNA from 1 species